UUAAGUGACUAAGCGUACACGGUGGAUGCCUUGGCAGUUGGAGGCGAUGAAGGACGUACUAACUUGCGAUAAGCCUAGUCAAGCCAGUAAGAGGCGCUUGAGACUAGGAUUUCCGAAUGGGGAAACCCACCUGCUUGCAGGUAUCGUUAACUGAAUACAUAGGUUAACGAGGCGAACGCGGAGAACUGAAACAUCUAAGUACCCGUAGGAAAAGAAAUCAACCGAGAUUCCGAAAGUAGCGGCGAGCGAAAUCGGACCAGCCCUUAAGCUUUAGUGUAGUUAGUGGAACAUGCUGGAAAGCAUGACGAAACAGGGUGAUAGUCCCGUACACAAAAACUUAUCUAAAGUGAAAUCGAGUAGGUCGGAGCACGUGAAACUUUGACUGAAUAUGGGGGGACCAUCCUCCAAGGCUAAAUACUCCCAACUGACCGAUAGUGAACCAGUACCGUGAGGGAAAGGCGAAAAGAACCCCUGUGAGGGGAGUGAAAUAGAACCUGAAACCGUGUACGUACAAGCAGUAGGAGCCUACUUGUUGGGUGACUGCGUACCUUUUGUAUAAUGGGUCAGCGACUUAUAUUCUGUAGCGAGGUUAACCAUUUAGGGGAGCCGUAGCGAAAGCGAGUCUUAACUGGGCGCUUAAGUUGCAGGGUAUAGACCCGAAACCCGGUGAUCUAGCCAUGGGCAGGUUGAAGGUUGAGUAACAUCAACUGGAGGACCGAACCCACUAACGUUGAAAAGUUAGGGGAUGACCUGUGGCUAGGAGUGAAAGGCUAAUCAAACCGGGAGAUAGCUGGUUCUCCCCGAAAUCUAUUUAGGUAGAGCCUCGGACGAAUACUUACGGGGGUAGAGCACUGUUAAGGCUAGGGGGUCAUCCCGACUUACCAACCCUUUGCAAACUCCGAAUACCGUAAAGUAAUAUCCGGGAGACACACGGCGGGUGCUAACGUCCGUCGUGGAGAGGGAAACAACCCAGACCGUCAGCUAAGGUCCCAAAGUGUAUGUUAAGUGGGAAACGAUGUGGGAAGGCUAAAACAGCUAGGAGGUUGGCUUAGAAGCAGCCACCCUUUAAAGAAAGCGUAAUAGCUCACUAGUCGAGUCGGCCUGCGCGGAAGAUGUAACGGGGCUAAACAUACCACCGAAGCUACGGCUGCGAACUUAGUUCGCGGGGUAGGGGAGCGUUCUGUAAGUGGCUGAAGGUGUGCCGGGAGGCAUGCUGGACAUAUCAGAAGUGCGAAUGCUGACAUGAGUAACGACAAGAGGAGUGAAAAACUCCUCCGCCGGAAGACCAAGGGUUCCUAUCCCAUGUUAAUCAGGGUAGGGUGAGUCGACCCCUAAGGCGAGGCUGAAGAGCGUAGUCGAUGGGAAACGGGUUAAUAUUCCCGUACUCGGUAUGAAUGCGAUGGGGGGACGGAGCAGGCUAGGCAAGCAUGGCGUUGGUUGUCCAUGUGAAAGGCUGUAGGCUGGUGACUUAGGAAAAUCCGGGUUGCCAAGGCUGAGAGUCGAGACGAGCCACUAAGGUGGUGAAGUUGUUGAUGCCCUACUUCCAGGAAAAGCCUCUAAGCUUCAGUUCAUACUGAAUCGUACCCUAAACCGACACAGGUGGUCAGGUAGAGAAUACUAAGGCGCUUGAGAGAACUCGGGUGAAGGAACUAGGCAAAAUUGUACCGUAACUUCGGGAGAAGGUACGCUCUUGUUUGUGAAGGACUUGCUCUGUAAGCAAACGAGAGCCGCAGUGACCAGGUGGCUGGGACUGUUUAUUAAAAACACAGCACUGUGCAAAAUCGUAAGAUGACGUAUACGGUGUGACACCUGCCCGGUGCCGGAAGGUUAAUUGAUGGGGUUAGCUUAGGCGAAGCUCUUGAUCGAAGCCCCGGUAAACGGCGGCCGUAACUAUAACGGUCCUAAGGUAGCGAAAUUCCUUGUCGGGUAAGUUCCGACCUGCACGAAUGGUGUAACCAUGGCCACGCUGUCUCCACCCGAGACUCAGUGAAAUUGAAAUCGCAGUGAAGAUGCUGUGUACCCGCGGCUAGACGGAAAGACCCCGUGAACCUUUACUACAGCUUGGCACUGAACAUUGACCCUACAUGUGUAGGAUAGGUGGGAGGCUUUGAAGCAGAGACGCUAGUUUCUGUGGAGCCGACCUUGAAAUACCACCCUUGUAGUGUUGAUGUUCUAACUUAGGCCCCUGAAUCGGGGUUGAGGACAGUGCCUGGUGGGUAGUUUGACUGGGGCGGUCUCCUCCCAAAGAGUAACGGAGGAGCACGAAGGUUUGCUAAGUACGGUCGGACAUCGUACGGUUAGUGUAAUGGUAGAAGCAAGCUUAACUGCGAGACAGACACGUCGAGCAGGUACGAAAGUAGGUCAUAGUGAUCCGGUGGUUCUGAAUGGAAGGGCCAUCGCUCAACGGAUAAAAGGUACUCCGGGGAUAACAGGCUGAUACCGCCCAAGAGUUCAUAUCGACGGCGGUGUUUGGCACCUCGAUGUCGGCUCAUCACAUCCUGGGGCUGAAGUCGGUCCCAAGGGUAUGGCUGUUCGCCAUUUAAAGUGGUACGCGAGCUGGGUUUAGAACGUCGUGAGACAGUUCGGUCCCUAUCUGCCGUGGGCGUUUGAGAAUUGAGAGGGGCUGCUCCUAGUACGAGAGGACCGGAGUGGACGAACCGCUGGUGUUCGGGUUGUGAUGCCAAUUGCAUUGCCCGGUAGCUACGUUCGGAACUGAUAACCGCUGAAAGCAUCUAAGCGGGAAGCAGGCCUCGAGAUGAGUUCUCACUUUGACUUAGAGUCAACUGAAGGGCCGUUGAAGACUACAACGUUGAUAGGCGAGAUGUGGAAGUGCUGUGAGGCAUUAAGCUAACUCGUACUAAUUACCCGUGAGGCUUAACCAU
rnacentral:rRNA from 1 species